rnacentral:rRNA from 1 species
AUGGCGACCGGCGCACGGGUGAGUAACGCGUAUCCAACCUGCCCUUUACAAUGGGACAGCCCGUCGAAAGGCGGAUUAAUACCGUAUGUUGUCAUGUUGAUGCAUAUUUUCAUGACCAAAGGCUUCGGCCGGUAAAGGAUGGGGAUGCGUCUGAUUAGCUUGCCGGCGGGGUAACGGCCCACCGGGGCGACGAUCAGUAGGGGUUCUGAGAGGAAGGUCCCCCACAUUGGAACUGAGACACGGUCCAAACUCCUACGGGAGGCAGCAG